rnacentral:rRNA from 1 species
GGGAUGGGCCAUCUUUUUAUUUUUAAAAGACCUUUUUCGGAAGGUAUGCUUAAAGAGGGGCUUGCGUCACAUUAGUUAGUUGGCAGGGUAAAGGCCUACCAAGACUAUGAUGUGUAGCUGGACUGAGAGGUUGAACAGCCACAUUGGGACUGAGACACGGCCCAAACUCCUACGGGAGGCAGCAGUAGGGAAUUUUCGGCAAUGGAGGAAACUCUGACCGAGCAACGCCGCGUGAACGAUGAAGUAUUUCGGUAUGUAAAGUUCUUUUAUUGAAGAAGAAAAAAUAGUGGAAAAACUAUCUUGACGAUAUUCAAUGAAUAAGCCCCGGCAAACUAUGUGCCAGCAGCCGCGGUAAUACAUAGGGGGCGAGCGUUAUCCGGAAUUAUUGGGCGUAAAGGGUGCGUAGGCGGUUUAAUAAGUCUAUAGUUUAAUUUCAGUGCUUAACACUGUCCUGCUAUAGAAACUAUUAGACUAGAGUGAGAUAGAGGCAAGUGGAAUUCCAUGUGUAGCGGUAAAAUGCGUAAAUAUAUGGAGGAACACCAGAGGCGUAGGCGGCUUGCUGGGUCUUUACUGACGCUGAGGCACGAAAGCGUGGGGAGCAAACAGGAUUAGAUACCCUGGUAGUCCACGCCGUAAACGAUGAGUACUAAGUGUCGGGAUUACUCGGUACUGAAGUUAACACAUUAAGUACUCCGCCUGAGUAGUACGUACGCAAGUAUGAAACUUAAAGGAAUUGACGGGACUCCGCACAAGCGGUGGAUCAUGUUGUUUAAUUCGAAGAUACACGAAAAACCUUACCAGGUCUUGACAUACUCUGCAAAGCUAUAGCAAUAUAGUGGAGGUUAUCAGGGAUACAGGUGGUGCAUGGUUGUCGUCAGCUCGUGUCGUGAGAUGUUAGGUUAAGUCCUAAAACGAGCGCAACCCUUGUCAUUAGUUGCCAGCAUGUCAUGAUGGGCACUUUAAUGAGACUGCCAAUGAAAAAUUGGAGGAAGGUGAGGAUCACGUCAAAUCAUCAUGCCCCUUAUGAUCUGGGCUACAAACGUGAUACAAUGGCUGUUACAAAGAGUAGCUGAAACGCAAGUUUAUAGCCAAUCUCAUAAAAGCAGUCUCAGUUCGGAUUGAAGUCUGCAACUCGACUUCAUGAAGUUGGAAUCGCUAGUAAUCGCGAAUCAGCAUGUCGCGGAAUAUCAACCUU